ensembl:lncRNA
GGGCGCGGUGGCGCUUGUAAUCCCAGCACUAUGGGAGGCCGAGGCGGGCGGAUCACUUGAGGCCAGGAGUUGGAGAUCAGCCUGGCCAACAUGACGAAACCCUGUCUCUACCAAAAAUACAAAAAAAAAAUUAGCCAGGCUUGGUGGUAGGCACCUGUAAUCCCGGCUACUCAGGAGGCUGAGGCAGGAGAAUCACUUGAACCCGAGAGGCAGAGGUUGCAGUGAGCUAAGAUCGCACCAUUGCACUACAGCCUGGGUGACAAAAGGGAAACUCUGUCUCAAAAAAUAAAAAAUAAAUAAAUUAAGUGAUGCUGCUCUUUCCAAACAUCAUUUCCUCCUGUGGGCCUCCCCAGACUCUCAGGCUUGGCUCCCUGGAGGACCUGGGCAAGCAGGCAGGGGGCUCUGGGGCAGCAAGGGGAGUGACAGAGGUCAGGGAGGAAUGGACUAGGAGGUGCUGGGCCAUUCCCCAGGUUGGGAGGGGAGAAGGCAGCGGAACACCGGAACAGCAGAACCUGUGGCUUCUUUUCCAACACAAACUUCCCCUGACCAGCCAGAGGUAGCAAAGUUUUUCUUGUUUUCGUUCUCACAUUCCUCCCAGCUGCCGUCAGAACUUGGCCAAGACAGCCAGGCUGGAGGAGGCACAGUCUCUCCCGGCCUCCUGCCAGGUUCCAGCCGCCCACGUGGGUUGGUGGUGCAGCCACAUCCCUCCUCCUAGCUACUCUCUCCUGUCCACUCCUAUCCACUCCAUCCUGCCACCCUGGGCUGCCCAGUUCCUCUACUGUCCUGCCCACCUCUGGGCCCUCAAACUCCAAUCUGCUGCUCUUUUGAUUUUUUACUGAAACCCUGUCUUCAGUGCUGGAUUUUACUCUGCUGCUCACCAUUAAUCUUCCUCUCAGCGCAGGCGGUGAAGACCUAAAGCUAAGGGGGCUUAGGAGGGUAGAGAAGGGUAUCAGCUGAGUGCCCGCACAGGCCAGGGUCACCUUCAGUGAAGCUGCCAGUUUGGUGAUGUCCACAGUAGUGCAGGCAGUUCUGCUGUGUUCUACAGCGACAGAGUCUGCCCCUGCCCGUGCCCGUGCAUUGGACCAGGUGAGAAAGUGUGGGUGGCGUAGACACCCCGCACCUGAGAAAGUCAAACUCAAAGCACGUGCCUUCCAUAGGCAAAAGGUGGGGCUCCCAGUCAUGUAUUGUGAAGCAGGCAGGUCACUCUCCCCUCCACCCCUCCAGCAGCCCUGUGCUACUGUGUUUUCUGUGCCAGGCUUGGCCCCCAGUGCAUGCUCCUCUGCUGUGCUUUGGAAGUUGCACUGAGAAGGAAGAGGAAUUGUUCCUUGCCCUGAGGAGCUGCCAUCCUACUGGGGACACACAGCCUAGAGUAGAGAAGCGGAUAGGCACUUGGCUUCAGGGAGGUGGCAGGACUUUCCCUAGGCCUUGAGGAAUGAUGAGAGAAGCACGGAGCAGGCAGCCAGACACAGGGCCUUGCGGUGCUUCAGGUGUGUUUAGAACCAGCGGAUGGCGUGGGUUGGUGUGGGACAUGCAUGUGGAGGAACAGUGGUGUGGGAGAAGGGACAGGCUGCUUGGAUCGGGAUUGUAGAUGACCUACAACACCGGGUUAAAAGGAUUUGGAUUCUACAGGAAUUGCAGUAAAUGUGAGAGGGUGCAGGGAACCAAAGGGCUUUGAAUGAUCACAAAGGGGGCUGAAGCAUGGCGUGGUGUAGUCCCAGCUACCCAGGAGGUGGAGGUGGGAGGAAUCCGAGGCCAGCUGGGGCAACAUGAGGGACUCCAUAAAGAGGAGGCUUGGGGCACGAGAUCCACUGUGUACUGACUGCCUGCUGCAGGCGGACACGGUGCCUGGGGAUUUAACAUGUGUUGUCUUGUUCAAUCUUCACAACAGCCCUACAGGGUAAGUGCUUUUUCCCCCUGUUUCACAGAUGAGAAAACUAAGUUCAAAUUAUUUGUCCAAACCAGCUGCUAACAAGCAAAAAUGUUUGAAAAAGAUUCAAACC